GCGAGUGUAGCUCAGUUGGUAGAGCAUAGCCUUCCCAAGGCUAGGGUCGCGCGUUCGAACCGCGUCACUCGCACCA
rnacentral:tRNA from 1 species